AUUUCCACUAACUUCGUUCAUAGUAUUUGACAGAAAAAUGGAGAAUCUGUUGUCCUUUGAUACUUGUUGAAACACAAUUAUCGUUAAAGUUUUUUUCUAUAGAAAAUUAAAGAUUGAUGGAAAAUCGCGGACGAGAAAAAUCUCGAGAUUAUAACACGUCAAACAAAACCGUGCUUAUUAAAAUUCAGAUAUAAAAGUCUUUAAAAUGAAGCCUUUGAUCGAAUUCGAAGAAUGUUUGCGAGACACACCAAAAUUUCGGUCUUGCAUCGAAGAAGUUGAAAAUAAUAUAGAUAUUUUGGAACAAAAAUUGGAUAAGGUGUUAAAGAACUGUAGCCUGAUGAUUGAAACUGGAAAAGCUUUUGUUGGACAACAAAGUCAAUUUGCCAACAGCUUAUGGGACUUAUCAUUAUAUUUUAGUAGUGAUCCUGAAAUAAUGGCUUUUUUAAAUAAGUUAAUUCAUUCCAUGCAGGAAAUGAAUAAGUUUCAUAGUAUAUUAUUAGAUCAAGCAUCUAGAACUAUCAUCAAAGAUCUGAAUAUAUUUAUGAAAAGCGAUAUUAAAAGAGUGAAAGAAACGCGUCAUUACUUUGAGAAAAUAUCUGCGGAUCUAGAUAUAGCCUUAAAUCGCAAUUCACAAGUUCCAAAAUCACGACCUACGGAGUACGAGGAAACCUCGAACAUUUUAUCAGCUACACGAUCAUGUUUUCGCCAUACUGCUUUAGAUUAUGUUCAUGCAUUAACAAUGUUACAAACACGCAAGCGACAUGAAAUACUGGGCUCUCUAUUAACUUAUAUGCAUGCUUGUAUAACUUAUUAUCAUCAAGGUAGUGAUCUUGGCCAAGACUUGGAUCCAUUUUUAAAGGAUCUUAGUGAAGAUCUUGUUAGAAUGAGAGAUGACUCUAAUAAACUUGAAAAGGAGAUGGAGAACAGACAUAUUUACGUUACUAACAGAGAUUUAACUCCUUCACCUAUACCUGGUAAUCCAAAGAUGGAAGGUUAUUUAUUUAAAAGAACGAGUAAUGCAUUUAAAACAUGGAAUAGAAGAUGGUUCUGUUUGAGAGAUCAUCAGCUUGUCUAUAGAAAACGAACCGGUGAUGAUGAUUAUACCGUUAUGGAAGAAGAUUUACGUCUUUGUACUGUAAAGCCUGUAGUAGAUUGUGAUAGACGAAAUUGCUUUGAAGUACUAAGUCCAACCAAGAGUCAUAUGCUACAAGCUGAUAGCGAAGAAGCGUAUCUAGCAUGGGUAACUGCCAUGCAACAAGCUAUUGGUGCUGCUAUUCAACGAGGCAUGGGUACUUUAUCUACUACUGGUUCACAAGAACUACAAUUAAGAGAUGUUAAAUGUCCAUCACGGCCUCCACCUAAACCUAAAUCGAGAGUAUGGGAACAAUUAUUGAAGAUUUCUGGAAACGAUGUUUGCUGUGAUUGUGGCGGAUCGAAUCCAAGAUGGGCUAGCAUCAAUUUAGGCAUUACACUUUGCAUAGAAUGUUCCGGCGUACAUAGGAGUCUUGGAGUUCAUUACAGCAAAGUACGUUCUUUAACAUUAGACGAUUGGGAACCGGAAAUAUUGAAAGUUAUGGCAGAAUUAGGUAACAGUGUAGUAAAUAACGUAUAUGAGGCAUUACCAAUUCCUCCGAAUAUGAUUAAAGCUACACCAAAAUGUAACAGGUAUAAUAGAUCCUUUAAAUUUUAUUUCUUAUCUAUUAACAUCGGAUCUCAUUAUAAAAAUAAUUAUCCUUAUUUUUCCAGCAACAUACGCGAAGCCUGGAUAAGAGCAAAAUAUGUGGAUCGUAUGUUCGUAAAACCUUUAACUAAUAUUAUUACAAACGAACAUUCGCCUAAUCAGGAACAAAAGCAUUUUCGUAAAUGGAGCGUUCGUAAACUACGUCGUAGACCACGUAGUUACGAUCUUGAUUCUUUAAACCGAAACAAGACCAUCCUGAAUUCUUCCAAGGGAGCUUUGUGUUCAAGUUCGGAUGACAGUAAACAUACAUCAAUAGAAAGCUUAAAUUCCGUUGAGAAAUCAAUAUCGCAAAAAACGGAUACGGUUUCUACAAAGUCUGAUAAUUCAAGUACUGAUAUGAAAAAUAGUUCAACCCUAUAUACAAAAAUAUUGACUCAAACACAUAACGACGUGAAUGAAAAUACCAGUGUUUGUAAGAUCAUCGAUUCAGAAUCUGCAGCAAACAACGAAGAAGUACUUAAAACAGAUGUGUCGAAAUUUGAAGAAAGUAUCAACGCAUGUGAUAAUAUUACCUCUGAUAUAAACGAUAUAUCAAACGAGAAAAAUAAUGAUUUGGAAAUACAAAAAACUGAGAAGAUUAUGCUAUCCGAUGUAUUGAUGUUUGGAUGCGAUCUACCAAAAUCAAUGAUCGAUGGUAGUUUAGAAUUAAGUUCAGAUCAGGAUUCAACAGCUGGUGAAGAUGAAGAAUUUGCUGAUGAAGAAGACAUAGAAAAUUUACAUCCUGAAAUGUUACUUUAUAAAGCAGCAGCUGCACAUAAUCUACCUGUUAUGUGUGCUGCUUUAGCUGCAGGAGCAGAUAAAUUGUGGUCAAAUGUUAAUGAUAGAGGUCGCACUGCUUUGCACCAAGCCAUAAUAAGCGGUUCUGUGAUGUCCUGCGAAUAUCUUCUAUUAAAUGGUGCUCGUAUCAAUUGUCAAGAUGCAGAUGGAAAAACUCCUUUAUAUUUAGCUACAGAAUUAGGACAUACGGCUCAAGUAUGUUUGCUAUUAAAACAUCGUGCAGAUCAACAUAUUGAAGAUGAAAGUGGUGUAAAGCCUUUAUCGAUUGCAGUAAAGGAAGCUAAUGCUGAUAUUGUUACUUUAUUACGACUUGGAUUGUUAAACGAGGAAAUGAAAGAUUCUGAAAUAGGUGUUACCGGGGAUGAAACAUUUAACGAUGUUGUACGUGACUUUAGUCAGUUAGCUUGUUCACAUCCAGAACGAUUACAACGGCGAAAUGAAAGCAACAAUAUUCCGCAUGCACCCGAAUGAAAAACAUUUAAAUGUCGAUGUAGGAGAAAUGAAUAUAAACAAUUUGUCUUUCAGUUUGCAGGGUAAUGCGAGUGAAAUAUAGGAAGCACUUGGAGCGCAUGAAAGAAAGCCUAUUUAUCAGUACCUAAUAUAUUGUUAAUAUUGAAAGUAAUGGAUAAUCAAAACUGCAUUGUAAAAAGAGUACUUGUUAUUUGCCAUUUUUAUGCUCAAUGACCUAAUGAUAUAUAGGAUUAAGUUUUAUAGACUUACUGUCUUUCUAUGUUUGCUAUUGAUAUCAUAUAUAAAUGCAUAGUUUAUGUGCAUGUUACUACCUUCUAAUCUAUAGAUAUAUAUAUACAUAUAUAUAUUACAAAAUUGUACUGAUUAUAGUACAGUAUUAUGUGAGAAUGAAUUUUAUUGAUAUUUAGUUAUAGAUAUUAUUAAAAAUAAGAGGUCAUUAUUUCGCGUUAGGGUUAAUAUUAAUUCAUAAUUCAUUUGCAUGUUAAUUAAUACAUAAUCAAUUUUGUGUGCAUGUAAAGCAAGAUGCCAAAAGUUCAUGUACUUGUACACUAAAUUAUGGAUCUGACAGUAUAUCCGAAUAAUUUAAUAUAGUCUUCCUUAUAAAAAAAUUCCAAUUAAAAAUGUAUUAAACGAAUGAGACCUAUACCGUAGUAGAUAUGGAUUAUAUCUUCGUAUAUAUAAGAACAUAUUAGUAAAAUAUGUAUGUAUUUUUUUAAUAAGUACUUAUAUAAUUUUAAUCGUCUAAAUUAUAUAGUAAGAUUUUAUUGAUUAAUUAUGAUUUACAUAUUAUAGCACUUAAUUUAUGUCUUAUUUAUAUCUUGAAUACUUUCAUAUUUCUACCAUUUGUUUUUUUAUCUCCAAACUAUUACUAUAAUGUUUUUAAAGAAUUUUUCCAAUUAGUUUGGCAAGUAACGCGUACUAUUUCUCUUUUUUUUUUUUCGUGUCAAUGUUUAUGCUUCAUGUAUGAUAUAUUCUAUGAAAAUCGUAUUAAGAUAUUACAAUAUAUAUUUGCUACAUUCCUUUAAAUUACAUUUAAAAAAGAAAUAUUUCGCUAUUCGUAAUAUACAUAAACUAAAUUUAUAAAAAACACAUUAAAAAAUAUUAGAAAAAAUUUUUUUAAAUUUAAUUAUAUCUAAAGGUACGCAUCAUAUAAAGGUACCUGAUAUUUUAUUAAUAUGCUCUCGAGUUACGUUAUAUUAUACUUUUAUUUUAUGUUUAUUACAAAA